GUGAUUUGAGACAUUUGACUCUGGACUUUCUUUUGGAGACUUGAUUGAGUUACUCUGGUUUCAUCUGAUACAUGGAAUAUUAUUUGCUUACUUUGGCUUGCUUAAGGCUUAAUACAAAGGAGUGAAUUCUUGCUUGACUUAUGUCAUAAAGCUUGCUAUUUCUUGGUUAGAUAUUUCUUCCCUAACUUUUACUUUAUGCUUUAGGAUAGUUUCU
rnacentral:lncRNA from 1 species